rnacentral:lncRNA from 1 species
AAUCAAUUAUGGAACCAAUGUGACAUACAAACUCUGUAGAAAUUGGAAAGAUAUCACCCACCUCAACAUUGUUUUCCCCAAAUGGGACUCAACCAGGGGAUGUGAUAAGAAUAAAUUAGGCUUGCGGAGCAAAUGUGCCCGAGGCCAGUCCACCUGUGUCAGUGUGUGCCGACUCAUGAGAGAAUGUGCCAACGAGUGUUGACUUGACCUGAGCUUGGUCCUUACCAACCGUAUUGCCCAGGCACGGUGGUGACCACCAGGCGACAGUGGAAACUGACAAGCUUGGAUGGGGCUCGAUCCGCUCACCACGACUGUGCUACCUAGUGGCUCAGGGGAUGUGGUUAAUUGAUUGAGCAAGCUAGACAUUUACUAGAACAGUUCUUACCACGCAUACUUCAUACUUUCACAUUUUAUUUAUCUAGUUUUGCUUUAUAUUGUAUCAUGAAAGUUUUUAUUUUUUAAACAAGAUACUGGAUGUAUGGAUGAAAAUUUAAAGUAUUUCCCACGUAAAUGGGUUGUAUUAAUACUGUCUACAAGACUGAAAGCUUUUAGCCUUUGGACCUACAGUCCAUUAAUCAGAAGGCAAUUCCAUGUAGAAUAAUCAACUGCUUAUCACAUAAUAGGUUUGAAGAAUUCCAAAACACAUUUGGUAUCUGCAAGGAUUAUGGGUGGGUUUAUUUUACAAAUCAUAAAAAAUAAUUAUAUCCUUCACAGUGUAUCAUCAGUUCAACAAAAUCUUAUAUCAUUUAAGAGUUCAAAUGCAAAUUUUCAUAGGAAAAUUAGUUAACAAUAGACAUACUUUUGUUACAGUUUGACAAUAAAACCUGCUAAUAUUUCCAUCCUAUGGGCUUAGGUAAUCCUCUUUAGUUAUCUAAAAUAUAAAUAGAUAUCAAUUUUCUGUUAACAUUAUUUCCAAUUACCCAAAAGAUUUUAAAAUCUAAGACUUUUUUCUUUGAAAUGAAGACAAACAACAAACAGAUGAAAAGGCAACAACUAAACAUUUUUGUAGCAAUAUAUCUGGUAGUAAGUAAAGUUUUUGAGUAACAAAUGUAUUCAUCACAGAUAUCAUCCUUUAUCCUAUACUGUAUAUUGUUAUGGUGCCUCAACCAAAUUACAUUUAAUAUGAACAAAUAUAUACCAAGAUUUAGAUGAUAUUCACAUUCUCCUUAUCCCUAAGCUGUGACGAAACCGGUUCUUUUGGGGACGGAAUGAAUUUCACAGAUAAAUUACAGACUUGCAAAUUCAACGUAGUAGUUAAUAUAUGUAUGGUGGGAAACUUAUCUAAGCUUAUUCAAGAUGAUCAUGUGUGGAGCAUCUGAUAAGUGAAUAAAAACUUUAAAAUUCUCUCACCAAAUACUAGUGGAUAAUGUGUAGCCUUAUUGUAAUAAUAUAAGUAUGAAGGCACAAAAUCAUCAGUAGAAAUACUGAAUGGGUCAUUGAAGAAAGGACCCUUGGUGAGAACCAACAAUGUGUCAAUAGUGCAGACUUAUGAUACUGGACUUUUAUAUAAUGUAUGUACAUAAUGGAUAAAGCCACUUACAGUAUCUCCUGAGGAUAAGCAAUACUCCAUACUAUUUAUGGAUACAAUUGGUAUGGCUUUCUGAUUAAAUACAAAUACAUUAAUAUGAAAAGCAAAAAACAGAAGAAAAGAGAGAAAGUGAUAAAGAAAAAAAAAAUAUACACACAUGUAAAGCAUGGUGGGUGCAAAUGUAUGUACAUAGCGCGUGUGUCUCACUGUAUAUCUAUGGAAGUAUAUUUUGAUUGUUCUGCCUUCUAACUCUAGUGUCUAACUAAUUAUAUAUAACAAGAAGUAUCAUAAUUAUAUAUAUAUAUAUAUAUAAAAUAAACUUCAUAGUUUCACAGACUGAUUAAUUGAAUUGAAGAAAAUGAUAAACUGAAUAUAGGAAGCAAUGAAUUUGAAAUAUUUGUUGUAACAGCAUAAUUGCCUCCCAUUACUAAUGACCAUUCACUUCCAAAGCCUAUCUUAAAAGUUACUGUGAUUCAACUUAAGGUGAUUUUUGCUCCGUCCAGUCUAACGCUGGGGUAUUUCGACACAACAAUUUUUACCACCAUAUGACGGCGACGAGAUAUUUGGUCAAGGCCGGUGCACCGGGUGAGCGGGCGUAAAGCGCUCGCUCGUAGCUAGUGCUCUCGAGAACCCCGAGGCAUUAGGCUUAUGCGUUCGAAUACCCCGGCAUUCCAACCAUUUAGAGCCGGAAUAGUCCUGGCGUGAAUGGGUUAACAACAUCAUGCUAUACUACUGUAAUAAAUCUAUAAUUUUAACAUAAAAGGAAUAAAAUUUAUUUAUAGAUCUAACAUAAUAACUAAAAUUACAAUUGGAAUUUUGGGAUAACAAAAUAUAACAUUCUCAUAACCUUUAAAACAUUAUAUCAUCUUAGAGACUAUUUGAUAUUUAAUCAUACUGGACAUUUGAUGGGUAUAUACAUCCACAAAAAGUAUGUUUUAUGCAUUUAUAAUCUCUUAUAUUUCCAAGGAUUAGAAACAUGUAGAACUGUGAUUAUACUGCACAAUAAAGCACUUAAUAAUAAAAAAUUAUAUUCUGAAACCCCAGGUAUAAUCAAAAUAAUUGUAUUAUAUGUAUUUAUCUCUGUGUGAGUGUGAGGGUUGCUAAUGCUUUCCUGUUUUCUUCCCCUUUCCUGUAGGGUAAACUGUUGCACAUUGCAUUUAAACACUUUGCCUGCCAGGAAUGACAGCUACAUUACUUCCGAAAGGUAACAGCUGACACAGGAAGGAUGGGCUGGCUGAUCCUGUUUACCUCAGCAAGGGAAUCAAUAUUCUAGUUGUGUCACAGUAACGUGUCUCUGAAUACUUGCAUUUCUUUUAGUCAACUGAGUUGUACCUCACUAGACUGCAAAGCUUGGGAUCGGUGAAACUAAAAUUAGUAUUUCAAGGCCGUAGAAACCACUGCAACACUUCACUCCUCUUCACUGGAGCCAGAAGACGACGAAGAGGACCCAUGAUGGAAGCCUUUGUGCAUCAUAUACCCUCCUCCAGCAAGGGCCCCCAUACCUGCCAGUGGUACACCAUAUUUCAUGGCUUUGCUCUGAAAAAUGGAGAGAAAAGGGUCCACUAAAAUAAAAAUACAUUCCUGUGUGUAAAUUAUUAAGUAAAAGCCACUGCAUGUAAUGA